ACCCGGCUAGCUCAGUCGGUAGAGUACGAGACUCUUAAUCUCGAGGUUGUGGGUUCGAUCCCAACGUUGAGCG